rnacentral:rRNA from 1 species
UGAACGUUGGCGGCGUGGAUUAGGCAUGCAAGUCGAGCGAGAAAUUUACUUCGGUAAAUGGACAGCGGCGAAAGGGACAGUAAUGUGUAGGUACCUACCCUCUGAUCUGGGAUAGCUGCGGGAAACUGCAGGUAAUACCGGAUAAUGUCUUCGGACCAAAGGUGUGAUUCCGUCUGAGGAGGGGCCUGCAUCCUAUUAGCUUGUUGGUGAGGUAAUGGCUCACCAAGGCAACGAUGGGUAGCGGGUGUGAGAGCAUGACCCGCGUCAUUGGGACUGAGACACUGCCCAGACAUCUACGGAUGGCUGCAGUCGAGAAUCUUCGGCAAUGGGCGAAAGCCUGACCGAGCGACGCCGCGUGCGGGAUGAAGGCCCUCGGGUUGUAAACCGCUGUCGUUGGGGAGGAAAUGCAGGAGGGCUAUCCCUCUUGUUUGACCGAUCCAAGGAGGAAGUACGGGCUAAGU